GCAAAAAUUAGAAUUGUUUCCCUAAUUCAAAAAUAUAAACCCUCAUAGAAAACCCACGUAAGAUUUUCCCUCUCUGCCUCCAAAACUUUUUCACCAAAUAAUUCCACUAGUUUAAUUGCCCAAACCUAAUUCCAAUUUUCUCACUCUCCAAAUUUCUUGCAAAAUCGUGGCUGUGAUCUAUUUUUUUUCUCCUGGACAUAAUAUUCAUUUGGGUCAAAAAAAUCCAGCUGAAUCGACUACAAAUUUUGAGCUCUUCAAGUCGCCUUCAAGAAUAUACAUCAAGGUUACCCAACGGAGAAUUUGGUGAGGUUUCUCAAAGCAGGAGAUGGGAAUGUAUCCGAAGCCCAUAAAAUGGUUUGAAGAUUCCAAUUGUAACAAUCUUUUUUUCCUUUUUUUAAAGAAUACGUUGAUGUAUGUUCAUUGUUUCUUAGCAGUUGUACCCCAUGUUUUUUCCAGCUUGUCAACUGCUUGAACUAGAGUUACAAAACGAUAUUGACAAUAUAUUGGUUGUGAGUUCUGAUGAUCUUGUUCUAUGAAGAAUGUUAAGAUUUCUAUUUCCUUAUAAUUUGGUAUCUGCACAUAUUAGAUUUGAUCAGGCCAUGUUAUAUUUUUGGUUAGACUGUGGCAUUGUCCAAAAUGGCUUAUCUUUAGCCAUGAUCAUAUUGAUAAUGAACGAUUAUCAAUAUGGAAAAACAUUUUGACCGAACAUGUGGAAAAACUUUUGAAAAUCAUAGGGUUCUUUGUAAAUUCCCGCAGAGAGCCAUUCAUCCUUAUAUACAUAUCUUAAGAUUCUUGAUAAAUAUAGCAAGCUGGCAUUUAGAGGCAGCAAGUCUUGGCGAGAAAAAAACUAAUAAAAUUAAGGUCCUUUCUCAUGCAUAGUGGAAGAGAUGGCUGAGGUAGUGAAAUUAUAUGUUAUCAACAUGUACUUAAUUAAUUAUAAUUGCUAAGGAUUUGAAUAUAGUAUUUGAAACAUGGAUUUUUUUUAUUAUUAUGAUGGUUACAAGUUUCCUGAAGUCGACACAUUUGAGUCUGCUUAUGCAGGAAAGAACAAGUUUUGAACUUAUAAUGUAGUAAGAAAGACUCAACACUAUAACUUUGUUUUCUUUAUCAUGUUUUUCUACCAGCUUAGACACAAAAAAAAAUUGCAAAGUUAGAUCAAUAGAGGCUAGAAAAAUUAUCAUUAUGUUAAGUAGUAUCACAAUUUUUGUAUGAUUUUGUUGUGGCUAUUUUGGAAGUGGACAUUGGCAUGGUCAAAAUAUUUUAGAGAAUCGAUUAUAUCUCUUGGGUUUUGCUAUAUCUUUUGUGUGCACUUGCAAAAUUUCACUGUGGUGGCAAUCGGACAGUAGUCAUAUACAAGACUAGCUAACAAAAUUGUGCUUUAAAGUCUUUUCUGAAUUUCUGUGUUCGGCUGUACUUCAAAGACCAACUUUCUGGUAAGGUACGUUUCGUUAGUAAAGAAAGUAACUUUGAAAAUCGUUUUCGACUUACUUUUGAGUAAAAUCAAAAGGUCCGAAACUUAAAAAUGAAUUUGGUGAAUUGCUGAGCAUUGGUAUGAAUACAGGUGGGGUUUUUCUUCUUCUACUUUGGAUUUUGGGGCUUCUAUCCUCUCUUCCAAGCAAUUUUCACGUCUCCCCAAGAGCAUAUGAUGCUACAAAAAGAACGAUCUUCUGGAAUGUACCGCCUUUCAUCAUACUUUAUGGCACCAACUUCAGGCGAUCUGCCAAUGGAAUUAAUCCUCCCCACAGUGUCACCAUAACCUACUGGAUGGCAGGCCUAAAAGGACAGCAAUGAAUCUUCUGUGCAGCUUAUUCGUUCUCCUCUUCAGCGUGUUAUGUUCUCAUGGCCUCGGACUCACCAUUGGAGCACUGGUCAUGGACCAAAAAUCUGCGACCAUACUUGGAUCGGUUAUCAUGAUUUCUUUCCGUCUAGCAAGUGGUUUUUAUGUCCAACAUGUUCCCAAGUUUAUAGGAUUGAUCAAGUUUAUAUCUAUAAAAAAUCCAUGUAUAAAAAAUAUUGUACAUUAAUAUUUGGAUGAUGAUCACUUGAAGAAUAUUGAGCUAUCAACCUGGUCAUCUGAUAAUAUAUAUGUUUUGCUCAUGUUACUUUAUUUCAUGGAAUAUUAUUUUGAAGGAAUUACAUUAUUUCAGGUGGUUCCCUUUUUCUUUUUGACUGGAAGGUGCUGAGCUACUUCUGGAAAGAUUGCUAUAAUUAGAGAGAAGAAAGAUGGAAAGGCAGUGAAGGAGGCUCAUGAAAGGCUCAAGUAUGAAUGAUGGGGGCUGUGGAAGGGGAGGCAGUUUGGGAAUAUCAAAAGAAGACAUCCCCGGUAUGAAGUUAUAACGAAGGAAAUUCACGUGAUUGUUAAUACUAAAACUUUGAUAAAAAAUUUCUUUCCUUUAUUGAUCUCAUUCUUUUUCAUUUCUUUUUUUUGUAAUGCUCAUAUGGAUGUCACAAAAAGGAAAGCCGAAGUACGUGUCACUUGCUAUUCAUCCAAAUUACAACAAAUGGAAGCCCAUCUCCUCAUGGGCAAGGACAACACUCUAAUCAAAUUACACAUUAUGUUUGAACACCCUUUACCGCUCAAUCUGGUGUAAAUAGGUUCACAACUAAAUCUAGGUUGAAGUUACAAUUUAUUUUUGUGGUAAAAUAUUAGGCAUUUUGGGUUAUGUAUUGAAUAUUAGUAUCUGUUAUAUAUGCAAUACAAUCUUAUUUCGGUAGCGAAAUGUUUCUUGUUAAA